AAAAAAAUUUAUGUGUACAGAGAACAAAAAAAAAAAAAAAGUCUAUUUUCAGUUUUACUUUUGUAUAUAAACCUAAGAUGGCCUCGCUGGUAAAAAUAAGAAAAAAAAAAAAGACAAAAGAGAAAAAAAGAAAAACAAGGAGCUUCAGUUCAUUUUUAUGGAUGCUGAAGAUUUUACACCUGUGCAUUUGUCAUGUGAGUUUUCUUUUCUUUUCCUUUUUUUUUCCCCCUAUAGUUUGAACACCAAUGGCAUUAUUUUCUCCACAGUUAAAGAAACAGGAGAGGAGCUGAGCUUCUAAAGUUCAAGCUUGGGGGGAGAGGGAUUUUUCUCCUCUUGGAGACAUUUCCCUUGGCUGGUGGAAUCUAAUUCCCCCAUCCCAUAUUUAGUGCAGGUUUUGUAAUUGUGGCAGCAGAGCAGCCCCUGCUCUGUCUGCAGCCCGGAGCCUUCCAGGGGUGGGGUUGGUUUUUUGGGAUUUUUUUUUUUUUUUUGGCAUUUCUGGUUCCCUGUGCCCCUCUACCCAGGCAAAUUCUCCUUUUGAAUUCCAUGCUUCAGUCAGGAAUGUUGCAGAUUCAUCCAGGGAAUGACACGAAGCUGACUGGGAGGUUUAGGUUGGAUUUCAGGGAAAGUUCCACCCCCAGAGGCACUGCCCAGGCUCCCCAGGGAAUGCUGACAUUCCCAAGGCUGCCAGAGCUCCAGGGAUGUUGGCACAAAGCUCCCAGAGAUGCACAGGGUGGGAUUUUGAGAUGCCCUGUGCAAGGACUUUGCUGCUCGUGGGUCCCUCCCAGCUCAGAAUAUUCCACACUUGUGGGAUCCAGGAACUCCUGAGGGCCUGACCCCAUCAAAUCCCAGCUGAGGGAUGACUUGGGAGACAAGAUGUUCCAUUUUUGUGGGGUGGAGCCCCAAAUCAACAUCAGAUCCCAGCUGGGGAAUGACUUGGGAGACAAGGUGUUCCAUUUUUAUGGGGUGGAGCCCCAAAUCCCAGCUGAGGAAUGAUCUGUAGCACGAGAUGUUCCAUUUUUGUGGAGUGGAGCCCCAAAUCAACAUCAGAUCCCAGCUGGGGAAUGACUUGUGGGGCAAGGUGUUCCAUUUUUGUGGGAUGGAGCCCCAAAUCAACAUAAAUCCCAGCUGGGGAAUGACCUGUGGGACAAAGUGUUCCAUUUUUAUGGGGUGGAGCCCCAAAUCCCAGCUGAGGAAUGAUCUGUAGCACGAGAUGUUCCAUUUUUGUGGAGUGGAGCCCCAAAUCAACAUCAGAUCCCAGCUGAGGAAUGGCUUGUUGAGGAAUUCAUUGAGAAAUGAAUUUGAUUUGGACAAGAUGUUCCAUUUUUGUGGGGUGGAGCCCCAAAAUCCCAGCUGAGGAAUGGCUUGUGGGGCAAGGUGUUCCAUUUUUAUGGGGUGGAGCCCCAAAUCCCAACUGAGCAGUGACCUGUAGCACGAGAUGUUCCAUUUUUGUGGGGUGGAGCCCCAAAUCCCAGCUGGGGAAUGACCUGUGGGACAAAGUGUUCCAUUUUUAUGGGGUGGAGCCCCAAAUCAACAUCAGAUCCCAGCUGAGGAAUGGCUUGUGGGGCAAGGUAUGUUCCCUGCUCAGUGUCAGCCUGAACCCCAAAAACCCCCACAUUGUGCCUCUUUUAGGGCUAGUGGCUUCCAAAAUUCAGAAUUCUUUGGAUUCCCCAGAUUUUUUCCCCUAUUUAAUUCCCGGUUUCUUUUCUCGUUGUUUUUAAGUUGUGCAUGACAUAGGAAAUUUAAUUUGUUUUUUUUUUUUUUUUUUUUGGGUCAUUUGGGCUGAUCCGUUCUUCUUAAGGAGUGGAAUGUGUAAAUAGCUGGAAUGCAGAUUUUUUUUUUUUUUUUUUUUUUCAGGAGAUUCUUUAAAGUCAGAGAAAGGGGGAGGGAAGGAAGUGAUUCUCUUGUGUCCCAAAGUCCAUGUCAGAGAGAGUAAAUAUUUCCUCUGGUGUGAAAAAUAUUUUUAUAACUGGUUGAAAGUGCAGGUAUUGAGUUUAUCAGGAAAAAGAGAGUUAAGGAAUACUAAAAUUAGCAGAUUCUUGUCUGAAUUUUUUCAUGUCCAAAAAAUCUGUUGAUUGCAAAUAGUUGCUUCAAGCAUUGACAAGGGCCACCUUUUGCCUAUGAAGUCGUCUCAAAAAAAAAAAAAAUAAAUCUUGCAUUGAUUUAAAAAAAAAAAAAGGAAAAAAAAAACAGGAAAAAAAUUUCAAAAAAACCAAGAAAAAAAAGCAAAAAAAAAAAAAAAACAACCUUUAAUCCAAGUAGCAUUAGGUAUUGCUGUCUGAUCAGUCGUAUGGUUAUUUGAAAGGUUCACAUGAUGUGGCAUCAAAAAUUGUUUUUAGUGUUUUUACAGCAUCCCUCUGCCACUAAAUAGUUGACUUGAAUUUUGGAAAAAGGAAACUGUUGGUGUUUAUAUGUAUAUGUGUGUGUAUAUAUGUAUUUAUAGAUCCGUGUGUGUGAGUUCCAGGUGAGUUCAAUAGUUUUUUCCCAUGCAUGUGUAUUUCAUACAUAUCUGGCUGAUAUAUUCUAUUUCACCAUACACCGAUUUUAUAAUUUAUUAAAUGUCAGUUAAAAAAAAAGAAGAAAAAAAAAAAAGAAAUAAAAGGCUAGAAAAUGGGAAAGA